rnacentral:rRNA from 1 species
UGGGGAAUAUUGCACAAUGGGCGAAAGCCUGAUGCAGCGACGCCGCGUGAGGGAUGACGGCCUUCGGGUUGUAAACCUCUUUCAGUAGGGAACAAGGCCGGCUUUUGGGUUGGUUGAGGGUA